UAACCUCCAAUUUCUUUCUUAACCAUUUGGUGGAAAACAGGCCUUUCUGUGCCUCGAUGAAAGGAUAUAUUGGAUGUGGAUGGAGUUUGCGCCAAAGCUUCCUUAGAGAAAACUCUGAUUUGGACAUUUGCAUUUGACUUGCAUUAAAUUGAGUUGAGGUCAUUUUUAAGGCUCUUAUCUUUGUCAAUUUAUAAAUUAUGUUACACUAGUCACAGUGGAGGGAGGUGCUUUAUUUGGGUUUACUGUACUACUUGUGUUUCUCAUAAUUGUGGGAACUCUUUGGUGGACAUCGUAUCCAGAAACAAUUGAAUAUGUGGUUACUGGAGAAUGCGAUGAAUUUUAAUUGAAUAAACCAGCAAGCUGGCCUUUUGUUGCCAUUGAGGGUACUCCUUUGCAUGGUAUUCAUAA